AUAUGAUUUUUACAAUUUCAUUUAUUUUUAAAAUUUUUACUAACCACUUUUAUAUACUUUAUAUAUACAUAUAUGUGGACAUUGACGUGAACACUUUUUUUAACUAAAUAUUCACUACAACUAAAAUAUCUAAUUCUCUUCACCAUUAACAACUGUCCUACACUUUCGCUUUUCUUUUUGCUACUUGUAUUAGCUUGAUUGUGGUUCCUAGCCUUUGAAUGUGAGGCGUAACCAUUUUAAAUUAAUUCUUUCAAGGAGAAAAGAUUUACUUCAACUAAUUCAUGGCCUCUUAAAUUUCUAUUAGAUCCCUUUUCUAUGAGGUUCUUUAUCUCUUAAUUAUUAAGAGUACUUUACAAGUCAACAAUAGUGGAGCAUCUCAGAUGGAAAGGACGAUGGUGAUGUUGGAAACGUUCGAUCGAGUGAAAAGAGAUUUAGAAGAAUUGACAUCUUCUAUGAAAUUGGUCCAAUAAAGGGUCUCCUUGAUUCAAUUAGAGUUUCCCUGCUUUUAAAUCACUGGCAAUUGUGUGGGUUUCAGGCUUGUAGAGACGGGGUUUUUUUUUUCUAGAAACGGUUUUAUGCGAAAGUUUAAAUAUAAGGAGUACAAUAUCAAGGUGAAUCGAAAACUGAAGAUGGUAACAUGAAACUAUAUCAUCGGAAGUGAUCGGCAUCUUUCCCGACAGCAAACCGAAAGAUCUAGAUCUGCUUAUCCCAUUUAUGCCACGUGGAUGAUACAUAGCUCACCGACCUACACAUGUAUCAUAUUUGUAAUCGUAUAGAGUUAUAAAAAUUAUACUCUUUAGAUUUAAUGAAAUAUGAAGUUGACAAAAAAAAUUAAAAUUGUAAUUAUAAUGUUUUAGUGGGAUUUAAAUGUUUUUUUAGAUAUAUAUGUUUGGUUUUGUUGUCACUUGUCACGUUUAAAAUAUUAUUAAUUAUAAUGCUUUAGUUAGUUAGGAGAAGACAACUU